rnacentral:snRNA from 1 species
GCACUCACUUUGAUAGCACAAAUACUAAAAUUGGAACAAAACAGGGAAGAUUAGCAUGACCUCAUGAAGGAAGAAAAUUCAUGAGGAGUACAUAUUUUUU